UAUAAAACAUACACAUAAAGGAGAACUAAUUAAGGUGGGUUAUCCAAUAACACGUGUCACAACUUCAUAACAUAGAGUUAUCCUAAUCUAAGUGUUUUGCAGCGGAAAACGUGUGAGAUAUACAUAUGAAGAUGUAUACUCAAGGUUACAUUUCUUGAAAUGACAAAGGAACACCCGCUCAACACCAUUCCAUUCCAUCAACUGCUCAACCUGCACAUUUAGAAAUACAUGCAAGGCUGAGUAUAAAAAAUACUCAGUGGGCAUAUGCCGAAAAUACAUUCAUGCAUAACAUAUAUAUAAAUUGAACUGCCAACAGUAACACACAGGGGUUUUCUUGAAUGACCUGCGCUUACUAAAAUAUUUCUUUCAUUUUCAUAAGAUUGGCCGGCCGACCCAUUUUCCUUCAUAUGAUCCAUAUCUGUUCCCUUCUGUCACGCGCCGGGAAGGAGGCCUCCUUACCACGGACGCCAAGACCGGUCGCAAGCGACUCGCGGUCUCCAUGAGUGUACACGUUAACCCUAGCUAGCGACCUUUGUCUAGCAUAGGAUCCCAAUUGGAUUUCCUUUAAAGUUGGCGAACCAACACAGAUAGGAUACAUAUAAAAACAUAAACAUUUUUGGCAGUCAAUCAUUUCAUAAACAUUUCAUUUUCGUAAACAUUCCAUUUUCAUAGUAGGCAUUUAUCAUUUGAACAUUUCAUAAAACUGAAAUAAACAGUUAAAUCAUAUCAUGCAUAUAUUCGUAUACGAGGCCUACGUCACGCAGGGGAUCUCUAUAUACGUAUAGUAAAAGUAAUGCCCACCUCAAACGUUCUUAAGCUAGCGUGGAGUCGCUUCUUCUUCAGCUUCACUUCCUGUCGCCCGGACCUUUAUUGAUGAAGAGUCGGUAAGUUCGUGAAGAAAAUCACGACAUAAGAUAAGUUAUUUCUACGUGUCUAGGGUACGUCUUUUAGUAUUUUAAGGUUCUAGCAUCCAUAAAACUCGUUUUGAUUAGCCAGACAAAACUAACCAUAGCUCAUGUCUAAUCACAUCAAUAAUCAAUACACAUACCAAAAAUUCCACUACUUAAUACCACUUAAAACACAUGCAUAGAAAUUUAAUAACUUAACUUAAAACAUAUACUAAUUCAUUUAAUAAAAUAAUUUCCUCAUUUUGUAGCCAUGUAAAUAAUUACUUAGCUCAUAUGAGCUAAAAUCACAUAUUAUAUUCUAUAACAAUGAGAUAUUAAACAAAACAUUUUAAUCGCUUACAUAAAAUAAAUUCAUAUUCAAAAGCCCUUGAAAAUAAUUAUAUAAAUCAAUAAAUAAGAGUUUAAUCCCAAAAUUAUUCAUUUAAAAGUCCAUCAAUAAUUUAAAUUAAUAGAAUUAGUUCCAUUUAAAUAAAUAAUUUCAAGAUCCACUUUAAUAUAAAGUCAAUUACAAUAUAUAUAGCCCAAGACUCAAAUAAGCAUUAAAAUGGGCUAAAAAUUUCGCAGCCCAAAUGAUAAAUUUAAGACCCAUCAGAUUUUUACAUAAAAGAAGGCCCAAUUUUAAUAAAAUCAAAUGGGCUCAGCCCAAGCUUAACCCUAACUCAACACAUAUCACACACAAUAACACACAAAACACAAACACUCACAGACCCUCUCGCCCCUCUUUCUCACUCGGUCUGCUCUCUCUCUCUCGCCGGUUGAUAGCGGUGCCGCCGCCGGCGAGCGCCGCCCUGCCGGCCCCCCUCUCUCCCCCCUAUUCUCAUUCUCUUCCUUCCUUCCCUCUAGCCCUCUCUCCCCCUGCGUUUCUCUCUCACUUUCAGCCUCCUUUCUCUACUACUCUCACCCUGUCUCGCCGGAAGCCAAGCCGCACGCCGCCGCCUUGGGUGCUCACGGCUAUCGCCUGGCCAUGGAAGAGCACGGCCGCCGCCUGCCCGCCCUGAUUCUCUCUCUCGGUUUCUAGAUCUGUAGAUCGGAACAGGGCAUGCGCCCUCUCUGCCGGAAAGAGGUAAGUCCACAUCUCUCUUUCUCUUUUGAAACCCUUGCUGAAAUCCUAAUCUCCCUCUCUCCUUCUCUCUCUCGUUUGGCAGAAAAAGGAAAGGCGACGCCGUCGCCGGCGCCAAGCAGCCGCUGGGGCUGUUCUCACUUCCCUCUCUCGACCCAACACACACUAAGCACAGGGAACAAAAACCCCAAAUUCCCAACUCCAGAUUCACAUAUUAGCAAAAUUAGGAUUUUCAAAUUCUUUUCUUCUUUUCUUAACACCAUCAAUUCUUUGGAACCUUGUAACUGUAAUAGUUAGGAAAAUAUAGUGAUUAUGCGUAUGUGUGUAUUUGUUGCUGCUUUGAUGCUUGAUUUAGAAUUAACUAGAAAAAAUAAAGAGAAAUUUGGAGUAACCUUGAUGUAGCUGGUGUUGUAGGCAAUAGUUGGUGUCUGUAAUCUUCACAGCAGCUUGAGCUAGCUUGGGUCGAAAAUGGUAAAAAAAAUAGUAAUAGUGCUUGAGGUUGAAACCAUAAGAAAAUGAUAGUAGGGGUCUUUAAUCAAAGA
rnacentral:lncRNA from 1 species